GCUAGGUGUGGUGGUGUGUGCCUACUGUCCCAGCUACUUGGGAGCCUAAGGUGGGGGGAUCAGUUGAGCUUGGGGGUUCUGGGCUGUAUUGUAGUAUGCUCCACUGAUAAAGUGUCUCUGCUAAGUCCAACAUCAACAAUAUUGACAUCCAUCAGUAUGGGAAUGGGGGACCACCAGGUUGCCUAAGGAACAAUGAAUUGUCCGAGGUCAGAGACAGAACUCGUCAAAACUCUUGUGCUGGUCUUUAGUGGGACCAUGCCUGUGCAGAGAGCUACUGCUCUCCAGCCUGGGCUACUUAACAAGACCUUGUCUCUU
ensembl:misc_RNA Metazoa_SRP Metazoan signal recognition particle RNA